rnacentral:rRNA from 1 species
AGUGAACGCUGGCGGUAGGCCUAACACAUGCAAGUCGAACGGCAGCACAGUAAGAGCUUGCUCUUACGGGUGGCGAGUGGCGGACGGGUGAGGAAUACAUCGGAAUCUACUUUUUCGUGGGGGAUAACGUAGGGAAACUUACGCUAAUACCGCAUACGACCUACGGGUGAAAGCAGGGGAUCUUCGGACCUUGCGCGAUUGAAUGAGCCGAUGUCGGAUUAGCUAGUUGGCGGGGUAAAGGCCCACCAAGGCGACGAUCCGUAGCUGGUCUGAGAGGAUGAUCAGCCACACUGGAACUGAGACACGGUCCAGACUCCUACGGGAGGCAGCAGUGGGGAAUAUUGGACAAUGGGCGCAAGCCUGAUCCAGCCAUACCGCGUGGGUGAAGAAGGCCUUCGGGUUGUAAAACCCUUUUGUUGGGGAAGAAAAGCAGCAGGUUAAUACCCCGCUGUUCUGACGGUACCCAAAGAAUAAGCACCGGCUAACUUCGUG